AGGAGCAACAAGAUGCCAGCAGACCGGUAACGCCACAGCCAUGUGGCAGCAUAUAGAUUAAUAGGAAUGCGUUAAUUUAAGUUGUAAGAGCUAGCUAGCAAGAAGCCUGAGCCAAUAGGCCAUAGAAUUGGUAAUUAGCAUAAGCCUCUGUAUAAUUAUUUUAUAAGUGGCUGCGGGACCAGGCGGGAUACAGGAAAACUUCUGACUGCCCUGCUGGGUAAAGCAAGCUCAGAUUCUCAGACCCUGAGUGAGUUCUCACUAGGAAACCUCUGUGGUCCCUACAACAAAGUUCUCAAAAAACAUCAGAUUUUUCUAUUUUUCCCUUUAUUUGACUUCUUCUGGUCUUUUUUUAUAUUAUUUUUUUUAAUGUACUAGGAAAUAACUAGAAAAUUCCAUUUCUAGGAAGCCCACAGAAGGCGGCGGAUAGACAAGAAUGGAGGCGAUGUCUCGAACAAUCCUGUGACUGGCAACUUUUCACCAGCCAAGCCAUGUGUAUCCAGAUCCUGAGGAAAACAAGUUCACAGGGUCUCUCACUGGACAUAUUGCUGUUUUUCGGCUGGGCGAACUGGCCAGAAAAGCCCACUCGCCCCCCCUGUCUCUGCCACCCUGGGAUGGUAGGUGGCGUGGAAAGACCCACCAUAGAUGCAUCUGCGACAGACAGUUCCGUGGCCUUGGGUCCUGGGCCGCACAAAAGAAGGCAGGAAGUUGACUGAGCGGGACCGUUCAUCUCUGCUUUCUGGCUAUGGAUGUAACGUGAGCAGCUGUCUCAAGCUCCAGCUGCCGAGACCCCACCAUAGCUGGCCAUGUCCUCCAGCUGAGCUGCCACCAGCCUGAAGGUGAGGCAGGAACAUAAGCGACACGUCAGAUGGGUUGAUGGACACAGAACCAUGGACAUUCUGGCGAAGAGGAUGUGAUGCUGUAAGGAACCACCCUCCUGGAGAGAGCGGCUGUCAUCACUACCCCUGCCUGCCCCUGCGGCCUCUAGAGAAAAGAAAGAUGUACUUAAGGGGGUCAGGCUUGAUCGGCUGUCACCCAGAGUCACCUGCCACUAACUGUACAAAACUCCCAAUAAAGUGCA